rnacentral:lncRNA from 1 species
AGGCUUCACUCCCCUGCCUUCCUUGAGCCGAGCACGCGGGAGACGCAGAGCAGAGAGAGGUCAAGCAGCCUGCCCGAGGUCACACAGCAGGGAAGAGGGUGCUCUGUGUGGUACAAAGGAAAUCCUGCCAGACCACAGAGCACCCAUGCCCAGCCCGCUGGAGCGGCUCUUGGAAGAGAAGUCGCUUUGGAAUCAAAGACCAACAAAGAAAAGCUCGCUGGGCAGCGCCAGCUGGCUCAUCUGGUAAAGGAGAACCUUGAGGCCGGGAAGCUUCCAGAUAGAGGCCGCGCGCUGGCUCAAGCAGCCCCGGGCACCUGCAGGCCUCUCCAGCCAAGGGCCAGGCCACCGUCACCAAUCGGCAGUUGUCCCAGGGGCAGAGACACAGCCCGGAUGGGUGCAGGGAACGACGGGCCUGCACGGCCCCACCGCCGGCACCGAGCCUCGCUGGCCCUGCUGCAUCUUCGUGGGCACGACGCCGCCUCGUGCACAGCGGUCUGGGGAGGACACCGCCAUGCCUCCCAAGGCCACCGGGCUCCCCGACGCUCUCACGUGCUGACCCUCGCUGGACACGCCCGGCGUUCGCCCCCGCGCUGCCCUUCUUCACUCUCCGAGUCUUGGCUGGAGUGCUUCCUUCCCGGAGAAACUUCCCUUCAGCCACGCGGUCUGCGUCGGCUCCCCUCUUCCCAACCUCACCAUUUCCUGUUCCCUCGUUUUCCCUCACAGUGUGUGUCCUGACCACAUGAGCAUCUGUAUGCGCUCGUUUGUGAGUUCGCCCGUUUAUGGUGUCUUGCCCUCACAGGGCCGUGCGCUCCCCCAGGGCGUGGAUUAUUCUUUCCUAUCCACCUGCUCAGGCGCAGUGUGUAGUUUCCGGCACGUCGAAGAGGCCUGCGUCAGUCAGGAUAUAUUCGGUUAUGCCGCAGCGACACAUAUCCCCAGACUGUACGUAAGGACUUAAAGCAACCCUCAGGGAUUCAGGCCGGUAGGACCGCCGACCUUGACUUUCUGCUUUCCAAAGCAGAAAGAAGGAACUAUGGGGAAUCACACACCGGAGUUUAAAGUUUUUACCCAGAAGUGACCUACUUCCCUCCAUUUCAUUGACCAAAGCAGCUCACACAGCCCUGAAGAGUCAGAAGGAAACGGAGGCAAAACAUUUCGGAAGAGCCCCAAGGUCAACAGCCAAAACGGUCAUAGUUGGCCAGGUCUUCUGCAUUCAUGACCCUGUACACAGAGAUUCUGUAGCUUUACCUUCAAGAAAUGGUGGAAUCCAUUUCUGCCUCCUGGAGUCUUGGUUGGCCAUGACUCGCUAUGACAAACACAAUGUGGAGGAGGUGAUGCCGCGGCAUCUACAACCUAGGCUCAGAGGCCUUGCGCUAUCCCACCCGUUCUCUUAGAACCUGGGUCGGCCUUCUGGAAAACGAGACCUGUGGCCCAGUCACACACCAGCAAGCCAACUGGUGGACUCAGGAGGGGGGUCUCGUGAUAUCAGCCAGCCCCCGGCGAAUCUGCCAGAAAGCCCAGCCAACUUCAGCUGACCCCUGACCAGAUGAUCACUGCUUCCCCCUGCCCCAGUGGCUUGUGAGAAAUAAUGAAUGCUUGCUGUUCCAAGCCAUCAGUUUGGGGGCAGUUUGUUACACAGCAACAGCAGACUGCUAUCAACCCUAAUGACAAUAUGGUGCUUUGUUAAAUACUCAUUGAAUGGAAGACGGAGAGCAGAGCAGACUCUUUCCCUCUCUUGCUUUCUCUACCAAAGCCCAGGCUGGGCUUCCAGGAACUAGGAAUCCUGACUUAAAACGUAAAGCCUCGGGGUGCCUGGGUGGCUCCGUCAGUUAAGCAUCCGACUCCGGCUCAGGUCACGAUCUCACGGUUCGUGAGUUUGAGCCCCGCAUCGGGCUCCAUGCCGACAGCUUGGAGCCCGGAGUUUGCUUCGGAUUCUGUGCCUCCCUCUGUCUCUGCCCCACCCCUGCUUGUGCUCCGUCUCUCAAAAAUGAAUAAACGUUAAAAAUUCUGUGUAAAUGUAAAACCU